AGAGUUUGAUCAUGGCUCAGGAUGAACGCUAGCUACAGGCUUAACACAUGCAAGUCGAGGGGCAGCAUGUCGGUUGCUUGCAACCGACGAUGGCGACCGGCGCACGGGUGAGUAACGCGUAUCCAACCUACCCUUGUCCAUCGGAUAACCCGUCGAAAGGCGGCCUAACACGAUAUGCGGUUCUCAGCAGGCAUCUAACGAGAACGAAAUGUGAAGGAGAAGGAUGGGGAUGCGUCUGAUUAGCUUGUUGGCGGGGUAACGGCCCACCAAGGCGACGAUCAGUAGGGGUUCUGAGAGGAAGGUCCCCCACAUUGGAACUGAGACACGGUCCAAACUCCUACGGGAGGCAGCAGUGAGGAAUAUUGGUCAAUGGACGGGAGUCUGAACCAGCCAAGUAGCGUGCAGGACGACGGCCCUAUGGGUUGUAAACUGCUUUUAUAGGGGGAUAAAGUGUGCCACGUGUGGCAUAUUGCAGGUACCCUAUGAAUAAGGACCGGCUAAUUCUGUGCCAGCAGCCGCGGUAAUACGGAAGGUCCGGGCGUUAUCCGGACUUAUUGGGUUUAAAGGGAGCGUAGGCCGUCUUAUAAGCGUGUUGUGAAAUGUCGGGGCUCAGCCUGGGCAUUGCAGCGCGAACUGUGAGACUUGAGUGCGCAGGAAGUAGGCGGAAUUCGUCGUGUAGCGGUGAAAUGCUUAGAUAUGACGAAGAACUCCGAUUGCGAAGGCAGCCUGCUGUAGCGCAACUGACGCUGAAGCUCGAAAGCGUGGGUAUCGAACAGGAUUAGAUACCCUGGUAGUCCACGCGGUAAACGAUGGAUGCUCGCUGUUUGCGUCUGACGUAAGCGGCCAAGCGAAAGCGUUAAGCAUCCCACCUGGGGAGUACGCCGGCAACGGUGAAACUCAAAGGAAUUGACGGGGACCCGCACAAGCGGUGGAGCAUGUGGUUUAAUUCGAAGCAACGCGAAGAACCUUACCAAGUCUUGACAUCCCUCUGACCGGAACUUAACCGUUCCUUUCCUUCGGGACAGAGGAGACAGGUGGUGCAUGGUUGUCGUCAGCUCGUGCCGUGAGGUGUCGGCUUAAGUGCCAUAACGAGCGCAACCCUUGUUCGUAGUUGCCAUCGGUUAAAGCCGGGCACUCUGCGAAGACUGCCUCCGUAAGGAGUGAGGAAGGUGGGGAUGACGUCAAAUCAGCACGGCCCUUACGUCCGGGGCUACACACGUGUUACAAUGGCAUGUACAGAAAGCUGGGUGUAUGCAAAUACGCUCGAAUCCCUAGAACAUGUCUCAGUUCGGACUGGGGUCUGCAACCCGACCCCACGAAGCUGGAUUCGCUAGUAAUCGCGCAUCAGCCAUGGCGCGGUGAAUACGUUCCCGGGCCUUGUACACACCGCCCGUCAAGCCAUGAAAGCCGGGGGCGCCUAAAGUCCGUGACCGCGAGGGUCGGCCUAUGGUGAAACCGGUGAUUGGGGCUAAGUCGUAACAAGGUA
rnacentral:rRNA from 1 species